rnacentral:rRNA from 1 species
CAAGGUCGAGGGGCAGCGGAUUGAAGCUUGCUUCAAUGCCGGCGACCGGCGCACGGGUGAGUAACGCGUAUCCAACCUUCCGUACACUCAGGGAUAGCCUUUCGAAAGAAAGAUUAAUACCUGAUGGUAUGAUGAGAUCGCAUGGUAUCAUCAUUAAAGAUUUAUCGGUGUACGAUGGGGAUGCGUUCCAUUAGGUAGUAGGCGGGGUAACGGCCCACCUAGCCUACGAUGGAUAGGGGUUCUGAGAGGAAGGUCCCCCACAUUGGAACUGAGACACGGUCCAAACUCCUACGGGAGGCAGCAGUGAGGAAUAUUGGUCAAUGGACGAGAGUCUGAACCAGCCAAGUAGCGUGAAGGAUGAAGGUCCUACGGAUUGUAAACUUCUUUUAUAAGGGAAUAAAACCUCCCACGUGUGGGAGCUUGUAUGUACCUUAUGAAUAAGCAUCGGCUAACUCCGUG